UGAGACACGGCCCAGACUCCUACGGGAGGCAGCAGUAGGGAAUCUUCCGCAAUGGACGAAAGUCUGACGGAGCAACGCCGCGUGAGUGAUGAAGGUUUUCGGAUCGUAAAACUCUGUUGUUAGGGAAGAACAAGUAUCGUUCGAAUAGGGCGGUACCUUGACGGUACCUAACCAGAAAGCCACGGCUAACUACGUGCCAGCAGCCGCGGUAAUACGUAGGUGGCAAGCGUUGUCCGGAAUUAUUGGGCGUAAAGCGCGCGCAGGCGGUUUCUUAAGUCUGAUGUGAAAUCUUGCGGCUCAACCGCAAGCGGCCAUUGGAAACUGGGAGACUUGAGUGCAGAAGAGGAGAGUGGAAUUCCACGUGUAGCGGUGAAAUGCGUAGAGAUGUGGAGGAACACCAGUGGCGAAGGCGACUCUCUGGUCUGUAACUGACGCUGAGGCGCGAAAGCGUGGGGAGCGAACAGGAUUAGAUACCCUGGUAGUCCACGCCGUAAACGAUGAGUGCUAAGUGUUAGAGGGUUUCCGCCCUU
rnacentral:rRNA from 1 species